GAUGAACGCUGGCGGCGUGCCUAAUACAUGCAAGUCGAGCGAACAGACUAUUCUCUUGCUCCUCUUACUUUCUCGUCUUCCUUUUUCGUCACCCUUUUCUAACCUACCUCUCCUACUUUUCUAACUUCGGGACCCCGUCUCUAAUACCGGAUCCUCUCUUGCACCGCAUUGUUCCAUAGUGCACGACGGUUUUGCUUUCCCUUAUCGCUGGCUCCGCGCCGCAUUCGCUAGUUGGUACGUUAACGGCUUACCAAGGCAACUAUGCGUAGCCGACCUGAGAGGGUGAUCGGCCACACUGGAAAUGAGACACGGUACAGACUCCUACGGGAGGCAGCAGUAGGGAAUAUUCCGCAAUGGGCGAAAGCAUGACGGAGCAACGCCGCGUGAGUGAUGAAGGGAUUAGGAUCGUAAAACUCUGUUAUUAGGGAAGAAAAAAUGUAUAAGUAACUAUGCACGGAUUGACGGUACCUAAUCAGAAAGACACGGCUAACUACGUG
rnacentral:rRNA from 1 species